rnacentral:piRNA from 1 species
UGACAUUUUUACAGUUUGCUUCUGUUGGUA